GUGCUCGCUUCGGCAGCACAUAUACUAAAAUUGGAAUGAUACAGAGAAGAUUAGCAUGGCCCCUGCACAAGGAUGACACGCAAAUUCUUGAAGUGUUCCAUAUUUUU
ensembl:snRNA U6 U6 spliceosomal RNA